rnacentral:rRNA from 1 species
GAUGAACGCUGGCGGCGUGCCUAAUACAUGCAAGUCGAGCGAACGGACGAGAAGCUUGCUUCUCUGAUGUUAGCGGCGGACGGGUGAGUAACACGUGGAUAACCUACCUAUAAGACUGGGAUAACUUCGGGAAACCGGAGCUAAUACCGGAUAAUAUUUUGAACCGCAUGGUUCAAAAGUGAAAGACGGUCUUGCUGUCACUUAUAGAUGGAUCCGCGCUGCAUUAGCUAGUUGGUAAGGUAACGGCUUACCAAGGCAACGAUGCAUAGCCGACCUGAGAGGGUGAUCGGCCACACUGGAACUGAGACACGGUCCAGACUCCUACGGGAGGCAGCAGUAGGGAAUCUUCCGCAAUGGGCGAAGGCCUGACGGAGCAACGCCGCGUGAGUGAUGAAGGUCUUCGGAUCGUAAAACUCUGUUAUUAGGGAAGAACAUAUGUGUAAGUAACUGUGCACAUCUUGACGGUACCUAAUCAGAAAGCCACGGCUAACCACGUG